CAGUCGCCACGGUAAUACGAAGGGUGCAAGCGUUAAUCGGAAUUACUGGGCGUAAGGCGUGCGUAGGCGGUGAGUUAAGUCUGCUGUGAAAUCCCCGAGCUUAACUUGGGAACUGCAUUUGAAACUGGCAAGCUAGAGUCUUGUAGAGGGGGGUAGAAUUCCAGGUGUAGCGGUGAAAUGCGUAGAGAUCUGGAGGAAUACCGGUGGCGAAGGCGGCCCCCUGGACAAAGACUGACGCUCAGGCGCGAAAGCGUGGGGAGCAAACAGGAUUAGAUACCCCUGUAGUCCCUGUCUCUUAUAA
rnacentral:rRNA from 1 species